GACGAACGCUGGCGGCGUGCUUAACACAUGCAAGUCGAACGGGAGUAUCGAAGAAGCUUGCUUUUAAGAUACUUUAGUGGCGGACGGGUGAGUAACGCGUGAGGAGCUGUCCUAUGCAGGGGGACAACAGUUGGAAACGACUGCUAAUACCCCAUAAGCCGAGAGGUAAAAGGAGCGAUCCGGCAGAGGAGGUACUCGCGUCCUAUCAGCUAGUAGGUGAGGUAACGGCUCACCUAGGCGAAGACGGGUAGCCGGCCUAAGCGGGCGAACGGCCACACUGGAACUGAGAUACGGUCCAGACUCCUACGGGAGGCAGCAGUGGGGAAUAUUGGGCAAUGGGGGCAACCCUGACCCAGCGACGCCGCGUGGGUGAAGAAAUCCUUCGGGAUGUAAAGCCCUGUUGUAUGGGAAGAGCAGAAGACGGUACCAUACGAGGAAGCCCCGGCAAACUACGUGCCAGCCGCCGCUGUAA
rnacentral:rRNA from 1 species